ACUUUCAACAACGGNUCUCUUGGCUCUGGCAUCGAUGAAGAACGCAGCGAAAUGCGAUAAGUAAUGUGAAUUGCAGAAUUCAGUGAAUCAUCGAAUCUUUGAACGCACAUUGCGCCCGCCAGUAUUCUGGCGGGCAUGCCUGUUCGAGCGUCAUUACA
rnacentral:rRNA from 1 species